GAUGAACGCUAGCUACAGGCUUAACACAUGCAAGUCGAGGGGUAACGAGAGGAAAGCUUGCUUUCCUUGUCGACGACCGGCGCACGGGUGAGUAACGCGUAUCCAACCUGCCCCCAACUAAGGAAUAACCUUGCGGAAGUAAGACUAAUACCUUAUAAUUUCCUCAGAUGUCAUCUGACGAGGAAUAAAGAUUUAUCGGUUGUGGAUGGGGAUGCGUCUGAUUAGCUUGUUGGCGGGGUAACGGCCCACCAAGGCAACGAUCAGUAGGGGUUCUGAGAGGAACGUCCCCCACAUUGGAACUGAGACACGGUCCAAACUCCUACGGGAGGCAGCAGUGAGGAAUAUUGGUCAAUGGGCGAAAGCCUGAACCAGCCAAGUAGCGUGCAGGAUGACGGCCCUAUGGGUUGUAAACUGCUUUUAUACAGGAAUAAAGUUAGCCACGUGUGGUUAUUUGUAGGUACUGUAUGAAUAAGGACCGGCUAAUUCCGUGCCAGCAGCCGCGGUAA
rnacentral:rRNA from 1 species